AACGCUAGCUACAGGCUUAACACAUGCAAGUCGAGGGGCAGCAUGGUCUUAGCUUGCUAAGGCCGAUGGCGACCGGCGCACGGGUGAGUAACGCGUAUCCAACCUGCCUUACACUCUUGGACAGCCUUCUGAAAGGGAGAUUAAUACAAGAUGUUAUCAUGAGUAAGCAUUUUCGCAUGAUUAAAGGUUUACCGGUGUAAGAUGGGGAUGCGUUCCAUUAGAUAGUAGGCGGGGUAACGGCCCACCUAGUCUUCGAUGGAUAGGGGUUCUGAGAGGAAGGUCCCCCACAUUGGAACUGAGACACGGUCCAAACUCCUACGGGAGGCAGCAGUGAGGAAUAUUGGUCAAUGGACGAGAGUCUGAACCAGCCAAGUAGCGUGAAGGAUGAAGGUUCUAUGGAUUGUAAACUUCUUUUAUACGGGAAUAAACGAAUCCACGUGUGGAUUUUUGCAUGUACCGUAUGAAUAAGGAUCGGCUAACUCCGUGCCAGCAGCCGCGGUAAUACGGAGGAUCCGAGCGUUACCCGGAUUUAUUGGGUUUAAAGGGAGCGUAGAUGGAUGUUUAAGUCAGUUGUGAAAGUUUGCGGCUCAACCGUAAAAUUGCAGUUGAUACUGGAUGUCUUGAGUGCAGUUGAGGCAGGCGGAAUUCGUGGUGUAGCGGUGAAAUGCUUAGAUAUCACGAAGAACUCCGAUUG
rnacentral:rRNA from 1 species